rnacentral:lncRNA from 1 species
GCUGUCACGGCGCUUGCUGGGCGAAGCCGAGGGCUCUGCCAUGGUCCCUGCGUCGAUUUUGCGCUUUCGGUGCUGCUCUGGGACGCCGAGGAGCUGCCCAGCAUGCGCGACCCCGGGCGGCCGGAUCCAGAGAGGCGGUGGCGGCGGCUGCUCAGCGAAGUCGCAAAGCAGGAGCCGCUUCCAAGUCAGUGACCACGGGGGCGUCUCCAUGAGAUUAAGACAAAGAUUAUAAUAGAGUUCCAGACUAUCCUGGGCAACAUAGCAAGACCUCGUCUCUACAAAAAAUCAAAAAUAGGCCAGGCUUGUUGGCCUGCCCCUGUGGUCCCAGCUACUCGGGAGGCUGAGGAGGAAGAUUCACUUGAGC